GAUGAACGCUGGCGGCGUGCUUAACACAUGCGAGUCGAACGGAAAGGCCUAGCUUGCUGGGUACUCGAGUGGCGAACGGGUGAGUAACACGUGGGUGCUAUGCCCCUGACUUUGGGAUAAGCCUGGGAGACUGGGUCUAAUACCGGAUAUUCAUUUUUCCACGCCUGGGGCUUCGUGGAGAAAUUAUGCGGUUGGGGAUGGGCCCGCGGCCUAUCAGCUUGUUGGUGGGGUAAUGGCCUACCAAGGCGACGACGGGUAGCCGACCUGAGAGGGUGACCGGCCACACUGGGACUGAGACACGGCCCAGACUCCUACGGGAGGCAGCAGUGGGGAAUAUUGCACAAUGGGCGAAAGCCUGAUGCAGCGACGCCGCGUGAGGGACGACGGCCUUCGGGUUGUAAACCUCUUUUAGCAGCGAAGAAGCGAAAGUGACGGUACCUGCAGAAGAAGCGCCGGCUAACUACGUG
rnacentral:rRNA from 1 species